GUGAGUUCUCCGUGGUCACGUGGCCCAUACGGGGCAGAGGCAGGCUCUUCUGAGGCUUAUUCCAGUCCGAUACUCUUGACCCCUGAGCACAUGGCCUCUUUUGCUGAAAUGUCUCACCAUCUUUGAUUAUCAAGCUAUGCAUUCUAGGCUCACGUCUACAGCUCCUAGAGAGAGUCUUCUCGAGGCACAAUGUCUGACUUCACCAGCUCCCACCACGUCUUUGCCUGCCCUGGACUGAGAAUAUUCGCUCUUCCUCAUGACCUGUGGGUCAUUUGCUGGUCCUCUGGAAGGAAGAAGGCACUCAGUGAGUUGGAUUCUCUCUUCCACACCACAGGAGCCUUGUGGCCUGGAGUUGGCGCGGCCUCCUCUGGAGCUGGUGAUGGGCUUGUAAAAGGGGCUGGACUUGGCCAAGGCAAGUUCAGAGACUCGUUCAGGAAAGACCCUGAGACCCAAGCCAGGUAGAAAGUCAAGCAGUUCGGGCCCCAACUCCCUCUGGAAGACUUCCAAGGGACAAGUUAGAUGCUGAGCCUUGGACUUCUGGAAUAUCCAGUGUGCCUCUCAGAACCUUGGUAAGAGCAGGGAUCGUGCAUCCGGAGUGUUGGGGCUGGAGUCCGCUGCAGAUGCACUGUGCACGUUUAUUGAAUAAAGUUGACAUUCUUCUAACCACCGUCGAGGACCCUGGGCUGUUGGAGGAAGCUUCUCUCUGGCCCGCAGGGUCCCACUGUCUGCAGACGCCACACCAGCGCUCAUUCUCCCCACCCUCUCUGCUCCCACCAGUCAGUGCGUGCUUCCCAGGAGUCACUUGUGUUUGUUCCUGACCCUGUUUAUGGCAGUUUAUGCUUUCCAUUAUAAUACUGUGAUUUCAGGAGUGAGUGCUCAGUAGAUGCAACUCACCAUGACCAUAUUUCCAUCCAGAAAAAAGGCUGGACGCAAACACUGAGGUGGUAUUACAGAAAAAGACAAGGAUCUCGCGCACUCUGACUCCGCCACGAGCCCUCACCUUCCGCCCCUCGCCUCCCUCAGGCGUCUAGGAGGCGCUGCUCAAACCCUCCAUGGCCAGGGGCAACUUGAUUCAUUUAAAAAAUUUCCAAUCAGAUCCAGAAUAGCACGGUCUAGAACUUUCGCUUCAUCAUUUAAAAAAGUCACAAAAUUUGGUGUUUCAUUAAUUUCUUCUUUCUUAAAAUUUACAAAAAAU
rnacentral:lncRNA from 1 species